rnacentral:rRNA from 1 species
CAGCAGCCGCGGUAAUACGAAGGGGGCUAGCGUUGUUCGGAAUUACUGGGCGUAAAGCGCACGCAGGCGGCUCGAUAAAUUAGAAGUGAAAGCCUUGGGCUUAACCUGAGAAUUGCUUUUAAGACUGUCGAGCUAGAAUCCAGAAGAGGGUAGUGGAAUUCCGAGUGUAGAGGUGAAAUUCGUAGAUAUUCGGAAGAACACCAGUGGCGAAGGCGACUACCUGGUCUGGCAUUGACGCUCAUGUGCGAAAGCGUGGGGAGCAAACAGGAUUAGAUACCCCGGUAGUCCCUGUCUCUUAUAU